rnacentral:rRNA from 1 species
AGAGUUUGAUCAUGGCUCAGAACGAACGUUGGCGGCGUGGAUUAGGCAUGCAAGUCGAAUGAAUCCCAUCUGGGUAACUGGAUGGGGGAAAUGGCGAAAGGGGCAGUAAGGCAUGGGCAACCUACCCCGGGGACGGGGAUAGCCAUUCUAACGAGUGGGUAAUACCUGGCGAUUCAGCGAGGAGGCAUCUCUUUGCUGGGAAAUGAGUUUCGCCUCGGGAGGGGCUCAUGUAGUAUUAGCUAGUUGGUAAGGUAACGGCUUACCAAGGCGAAGAUGCUUAGCGGGUGUGAGAGCACGACCCGCGCCACUGGCACUGAGACACUGGCCAGACUCCUACGGGAGGCUGCAGUCGAGGAUCUUCGGCAAUGGGCGCAAGCCUGACCGAGCGACGCCGCGUGUGCGAAGAAGGCCUUCGGGUUGUAAAGCACUGUCGAGAGGGAGAAAGACCGCAAGGUUUGAUCGACCUCUGGAGGAAGCACGGGCUAAGUUCGUGCCAGCCGCCGCGGUAAUAC